rnacentral:rRNA from 1 species
GACGGAGGGUGCAAGCGUUAAUCGGAAUUACUGGGCGUAAAGGGUGCGUAGGUGGCCUUUUAAGUCGUUUGUGAAAUACUCGGGCUUAACCUGGGUGCUGCGAACGAGACUGGAAGGCUAGAGUAGAGAAGAGGAGAGUGGAAUUUCCGGUGUAGCGGAUGAAAUGCGUAGAUAUCGGAAGGAACACCAGUGGCGAAGGCGGCUCUCUGGACUCAUACUGACGACUGAAGGCAC